UCGGAGGUAAGCUGAGAGGGCCCUAUGG
rnacentral:sRNA from 1 species